UACGUAGGGAGCAAGCGUUGUCCGGAAUCAUUGGGCGUAAAGAGCUCGUAGGCGGUUCGGCAAGUCGGAUGUGAAAUCUCCACGCUUAACGUGGAGGGGCCAUUCGAAACUGCCGUGACUCGAGUCCGGUAGGGGAGUGUGGAAUUCCCGGUGUAGCGGUGAAAUGCGCAGAUAUCGGGAGGAACACCAGUAGCGAAGGCGGCACUCUGGGCCGGUACUGACGCUGAGGAGCGAAAGCAUGGGUAGCGAGCAGG
rnacentral:rRNA from 1 species